CCUAGGCAAAAGGCUGCGUCCCAAACCGCACACGUCUGUCCUGACUAGGGUGCCAAACUAGUUUCAAGUGCACGCUGUAGCGUACUAAUCUGACUCACUAUCCUGUACGACAGAGUGCCUUUUGGGACGCGACCGGAGUUUUGAUUGAAAACUAUCAGUACGCUGAUACAGUUACUUUUGCCACCCAACAAGUCGGACAGCCAAACCCUGACAGCGAGAACCCUCAGAUUGAGCUCAGAGCCGGGCUCAGAAGACCGAACCGCCGCGGCGAGUGGACAUUUUCUUCACUGACAGCCGAAGACAUUGCGUCAGAAAACAACGAGGAAGACUGAACAGGGUCCGAAUGAAACGCUGACACCGGGCUCUUUGUGAUUCAUCAUGGAGUAGCCGACGGGCUUUACGGAAUCAGUGCAGCGGCACGUAAAGGUAACCGAGUCCAGAGCCCAGACAAAGGCGUCAGACAAACAGGAUAAACAGACGCGUUGAGACAUCACCUCCAUCAUUCAGGUCCUGAUCCACCGGGACUGAGCCUGUUCCCACACACCAUUCAUCAGCACCACAUUUCAAAAGAGCCUCGUAUUUAAAAUAAACCCAAAUAAUCUCAAUAAAACAACAACACUAACAACCAUCUGACCGCACCGUCUGGACUCGCAAAAACAGGUGUAAUAAAUCAAUUAUACCAAGGAAAUGAUACAUGAUGCUUCCAACUUGGCAGCAAAAGUUUAGGGAAGGCCCUUUACUACAGUGGCCUGCACAGAAUCUCAGCAGAGCUACUAAAUGACCUGGCCAAGCGUCCACACAAACACUAACGAGCGAUACUGGUCUGGGCAUCUGCACCCAACACUGACGGGUGAUGACAAGCGGCAGCAGAUUCACAAUUAUACAUUUCUUUAUUAUUAUAAAAUUGUUUAUAUUAAAGCUUUACAGGGAGAUUUAAUAAAUAUAAUAGAACACCUAUAUUUGUCAUAUACUGUAUACAUACACACGUGUUCAAGUACAACGAAAUUCUUUCUUCUCAUAUCCCAGCUUGUUUGGAAGUUGGGGUCAGAGCUCAGGAUCGGAUAUCGUACGGUGCCUCUGGAGCCGAGAGGGUUAAGGGCCUUGCUCAAGGGCCCAUCAGUGACCCAACCUUUCAACUGAUAGUCCAAAGCUCUACCUACUAGGCUACCAUUGUCCUUUAUAUGAGUGAUCUUCAAAAAGUUCCCACACUCAUAUAGUUGAUGAUGAUGUGAAAGCAGCGGCGCAUCAGUAACUACGAGCUCAACCAAACACAUUUUUGGCUGACGGCAUUAACAAGUUGGUACGGCGCUGGAAAAAUGCAUCGGAAGGCGACGAUGUAGAAAAGUGAUGGAGUUCGUUUUAGAAUUUCUAAAUAAAUAGAGUUAAAAACUCGUUUGUGUUGGAUCUCUUUUAUCCCUCAUAAAUUUUAAACAUUAAACAAUAAACCAC